GGGCGAGUGCUGAAACUGGUAUACAGACUAGUCUCAAAAACUAGUGGUCGCAACGGCCGUGAGGGUUCGACUCCCUCCUCGCCCA
rnacentral:tRNA from 6 species